CGGGAGCCGGACUACAAGUCCCAGGGAGCCGGCCGGGGAGGGGUGCCUGGGCGCUCACGGGGCGUGCACUGGCAAAGCGAGACCAUUUCCCGGCAAGGGCGCCAGUUCCUCUGCUCUGCUCGGCCGGGAAGUCCGGGGCGGACGAGCGGAAAGCCCUACCGUCCAGGCCAGCUCCCUGGAGCGAACCGAGUGGCCUGGAUGUCCCUGAUUAUUAUUGUUGUUGUUGUUGUUUAUACUGCGAGCACGAAAUUCCUCCCCAGGGCCUCCUCCCCCGCCCGCUCCACUUGCUCCUCCCUCCUGUUGUAACAUGCUCUCAGUGAGCCUGCGACCUCAUUUCCAAGGGUGCUAGAGUUCGCAUUCAGCCACCAUGGGGAAUGGGAUGAACAAGAUCCUGCCUGGCCUGUACAUUGGCAACUUCAAAGAUGCCAGAGAUGCAGAGCAAUUGAGCAAGAACAAGGUGACACAUAUUCUGUCUGUCCACGAUAGUGCCAGGCCUCUGUUGGAGGGGGUUAAAUACCUGUGCAUUCCAGCAGCGGAUUCACCAUCUCAGAACCUGACAAGACAUUUCAAAGAAAGUAUUAAGUUCAUUCACGAGUGCCGACUCAGGGGUGAGGGCUGUCUGGUACACUGCCUGGCUGGCGUCUCCAGGAGUGUGACUCUGGUGAUCGCAUACAUCAUGACCGUCACCGACUUUGGCUGGGAGGAUGCCCUGCACACUGUGCGUGCAGGGAGGUCUUGUGCCAACCCCAACCUGGGCUUCCAGAGACAGCUCCAGGAGUUUGAGAAACAUGAAGUUCACCAGUACCGGCAGUGGCUGAAGGAAGAAUAUGGAGAGAGCCCUUUGCGGGAUGUGGAAGAAGCCAAAAGCAUUCUGGGUAAAUAUAAAGAGCAAGGGCGUGUGGAGUCCCAGCCUGGUGCAAGGCGGUGGAGCAGCUUUCAGACCCUGCCUCCUCUGGCCUACAGCAACUAUACGACGGAGACCUAGUAACUGAGUGAUCUGGUGCCUGCCUUUCCAUCCCUUGUCUUCGGUGCAUUUCUGCCGGUGCCCUGGUGUGCUGGCUGCCCCAUGGAGGACGGGCAAGGGGGGGUGGCAGAGAUGGAUCCAGGCUCCUUCUCCAUGAAUCCACCAGCCCUGCCCGAGGCCCCUUCAUCCUGCCCACUCCUGCCCUGCCUGAGCUUGGGGAGUCUGCUUGGCUGCCCCACACCGACUCACGCGUGCGCCCGAGUGAAGGCGAGUGUGCAUGUGUGCCCGUGUGUGCAGAUGUGUGAACUCUAAAUGUUCACGUUGCUGGAACAGUCGCAGAACCCAUGCUGCCAGGCUUGGUGUCACCACCUUUCCUUUUGUCCACGACUCCACAUGGAAAUCAUUUGAAGUUAACAUCUUAAAAGCUGCUCAGCCUAACGCAGCCUGUGGCUGAGAGCAGACAGAGCCCAGAAUGGUCAUGGUGAGGGCGGCAGGAGGCCAGACUCCCUCCUCAGAGUAGUUCCAGGGGCCCUGAAAGGUGUGCGGGGGUGUGCUCUGAGCAUUGCCUCCACCUUAAUGAAAGUGCCCCAGGCUGCGGUCCUACCACCUCAAGUCAAGACCCCCUUCUCAGCCCAUCAUGUCCCUGAGUUCUCGGUGUGUGUUCUCAGUGGCACUGACUGUAUUUCAGUUCCAUAGGGAGCACAACCACCUCCGCCCAAGCUCUUGCCCAGAGCUCCCUUCCUUCCUCCUCCUGUUCGGCUUCACUUACUCUCAACCUCUUGUUCUCUUGCUGUCGUAACUCCGCAAGGGCCUCUUUGCAAUGUCUGCAUGCAUCUUCAGGAACUGGGGAGAAAGAGCAUUUAUUAGGCACUAUAGCAAGUUUGCAUUUAAAAAUACAUUUUAAAAUGCCUGCGCACUUAUUAAGCACCUUUGUGUAUGCUAUGGAUGUGAUAUUUGAUCUCAGCUACCUCAUUAAAUGUUUUUUGAAAAGGUAUUUUCGUUAUUGUAAUCAGCUCGUAGUUGAAAAUGUUUGGUCAUGAUUGCUUUUGAAGCCAAAGGGCAAAAGCAUCCAGUAUCAUUGAGCUAUCUAAAAUGUCUGUUUUGAGCUCCAGUAAUGCUUUCUGUUGGGUAAAAUUCCACGGUUGGGCCAAGCCCAGCAGGCCUGGAGAGCGUCUGCCGCCUGCAGUGUGGGACAGCACGAUCCUGGAAUUCUGUGAGCAAUUUCGUGGUCCAGUCUUUUAUACCAGCUCACAUUGUUUAAGUACACAAAGCCACAAGAAUGAAAAAGUAUACUUGGCCUCUCCCUAAAAAGAUGUUGCAGCCCAGUUUCUCCAAAUUCCACCAAGAGCAGAGCCCCGAAAGAAGACCAGCUUUCCCACGCAUAUAAAGUGUAUAUCGCAGCCACUGCAGGAAUUCUGAAGUACUGGGCCUUUCUCAGAAGACUGUAAUAUACCUGAAGUUUCUGAAAUAUUGCAAAGUCACAGAGUUCAGGCUGCUGCUGCCAAAAAGAAAAGGAGCCUAGAGUUUAUUUUGAAGUAUCCAGAAGUGAUUUGUAAACUUGUUUUUCCUUUUAAACUGAAUACAUGUGUAAUGAUGUUAUAUGUUGAGAACUAAGGAUGUUCUUCGGCAAGAGAAAAUAUUUUUGCCUUAAUUCCAUUGCUACAGUAAUUUCUUUAACCUUAGCGUUAGGGUUUCUAAAGCAGUCUCAAAAGCCCUGCUGCCCUGUUUUGGUAACUGUUUAGUAAUCAUGAUUGCUUCUCAUGAGAAUUGUGCUGUUUAAACUCUGCUCGUGUGUUCUUAAAUUCCCCAGCUUGGGAAAUAUC